rnacentral:rRNA from 1 species
ACCCGCUGAACUUAAGCAUAUCAAUAAGCGGAGGAAAAGAAACCAACAGGGAUUGCCCUAGUAACGGCGAGUGAAGCGGCAACAGCUCAAAUUUGAAAUCUGGCGUCUUUGGCGUCCGAGUUGUAAUUUGCAGAGGGCGCUUUGGCAUUGGCAGCGGUCCAAGUUCCUUGGAACAGGACGUCACAGAGGGUGAGAAUCCCGUACGUGGUCGCUAGCCUUUACCGUGUAAAGCCCCUUCGACGAGUCGAGUUGUUUGGGAAUGCAGCUCUAAAUGGGAGGUAAAUUUCUUCUAAAGCUAAAUACUGGCCAGAGACCGAUAGCGCACAAGUAGAGUGAUCGAAAGAUGAAAAGCACUUUGGAAAGAGAGUUAAAAAGCACGUGAAAUUGUUGAAAGGGAAGCGCUUGCAGCCAGACUUGCCUGUAGUUGCUCAUCCGGGUUUUUACCCGGUGCACUCUUCUAUAGGCAGGCCAGCAUCAGUUUGGGCGGUUGGAUAAAGGUCUCUGUCACGUACCUCUCUUCGGGGAGAACUUAUAGGGGAGACGACAUGCAACCAGCCCGGACUGAGGUCCGCGCAUCUGCUAGGAUGCUGGCGUAAUGGCUGU